CAAUAGCGUAUAUUAAAGUUGUUGCAGUUAGAACGCUCGUAGUCGGAUUUCGGGGCGGGCCGACCGGUCUGCCGAUGGGUACGCACUGGUCGGCGCGUCCUUCCUUCCGGAGACCGUUCCUACUCUUAACUGAGCGGGGGCGGGAGACGGAUCGUUUACUUUGAAAAAAUCAGAGUGUUUCAAGCAGGCAGCUCGCUCUUGCAUGGAUUAGCAUGGGAUAAUGAAAUAGGACUUUGGUGCUAUUUUGUUGGUUUCGAACACCGAAGUAAUGAUUAAAAGGGACAGUCAGGGGCACUCGUAUUCCGCCGAGAGAGGUGAAAUUCUCAGACCAGCGGAAGACGAACUACUGCGAAAGCAUUUGCCAGGGAUGUUUNCACUG
rnacentral:rRNA from 1 species